UUAGGGCGGAGAGCACGUGUCGUGUCGCGAGCUAUAAGGCAUUUUUCGCCGCCCGGUUUUCCCAAUAAAUGGUAUCGUAUUAUAUUCGAUUGAAAUAUUAGAAUAAACGUUAACAAGUUUCUAGACGAAUGUGAAUAUAUCGGAAGCCUACAAGUGACCAAGGUAACCCUAAAGUGUCAGUGUCUGUGAGUGUGUAAUGUCAAAGUGACAAGUGACGUGAGUUGACGUGAUAGCCGCGUCAUGGAGCCGGUGCCUUUGCCCCUCGAGGACGAGGAGCGCCCGCCGCAGGGCUCCUCCACCGGCAGCGGUUCUUCAUCGGGAACCGGAUAUUACGGACAUAAAAAUGGUGUGACGACAAGGAGUGAAGAAAUAUUAGGUGAAUGGAGAGGCGAUAGGAGAAUGCUGGACAUCACGCGAGACAAGCCCGUCAAGGUCUGCGUGCGAGUCGUGGUUCCAGUGAGGGAUCACCCUAAAUUUAAUUUCGUGGGGAAACUUCUGGGGCCCAAAGGAAACUCGUUGAAGAGACUUCAGGAAGACACAAUGUGCAAGAUGGCGGUGUUGGGUAGAGGAUCAAUGAAAGACAGACAAAAGGAGGAGGAGCUUCGUGUCUCCGGAGAUCCGAAGUUCGCGCAUUUAUCAGACGAACUCCACGUUGAGAUCAGUGCGUUCGCGACACCAGCCGAAGCCCACGCCAGGAUCGCGUAUGCUUUGGCCGAGCUACGAAGGUUUUUGGUACCCGACUACAAUGACGAUAUACGACAAGAGCAAAUGCUGGAGAUGCAGAUCUUGUCCUCACAGAAUGACCAGAGGCAUCUCACUCCACCAAACUCUUCCAGGAGCGGCAGCGAGGAAACCCUGCCUCUGAGAGACACUGGCAACAAGCCUAGGCUGCCUACAGUUCAGCCGUCACCGGCUCCGACGGCCAUGCCCAGCGCCAUCGCAGUCAGCCACGCGCCCACCAGCCGCGACUUCUCCCCUCCAGCUCCCACACCGGCUCCUGAACAUCUGGCUGCUCAUCACCAGUUGGCGGCCGGGCACACUGGUCACGGGAUGCUGGUCGGCGGAGGCAUGAUACAGCAGCCCCCUCAUCAUUUGAUCACCCAAAAUUCUAUACUCGGUACAGGCGACAUCCUGGGCUUGAGCAGUCCCGUGCUUGGUGGAGUGCUACACGCGCACCCAGCACUGCGUGGGGUGAAGCCUGCAGCAGUCCACGCUCUGGCGACGCAAGGUCGGUGCGGGUGGGUCGGCGGGUACCAGCACGGCACGCAAGCGUCCCCUGCUGGGCGGAGCGCGGGCCGCAAUGUCUCCGACUAAACGGGCCGUGAUGACCCUGCUCGCGAGGGCUAGGGCUGCCACGCACAAGCACGCAACCACAUGGCCUGCGCCACACGAGCACACGGCUUUACUACCAUUGAUAAGGGACGACUUCGUCGCUGGCGUUGGUGUCAACAUUAAUUUAGCGUAACUCAAUGUCUAGUCAAACUGUAACCCUAACUAAUGCAACAUUAGAUCUUUUUUGCAAUGAAUGUCUCGGAGAUAUUUUCCAAUUGUUAUUUUUUUUGGUUAAAAGAAAAUUUUGUUUGACCAAUUGACCUUUAAGAAAGGGGUGUUUCAAUCGGCAAGGACUCUGACAUUCUUUAGUUUAGCUAAAGAAUGAUGUCGUGGCGUGCAACCUCUUUGACAGGACAUAAGACCGACAAUGACUAGACAUAGACACAGACUAAGACAGAGAUUUGAAAAGAAUUCGAAAAGAAAUGGAACUAGGGCGUACGUGACCGGCGGCACGGCAGCACAUUAUUUGACGUCCUUAAAGAAAGACGCAAAAAGACGAAAAAGAACGAAUUGACCGUUCUAAUAUAAGACGGCAAUAGAACAAACGACCGUUCAACUGACCUUCGACCGUUCAACGGACCUUCAACCGUUC